UUUUGUGGCUAUAUCACCUUGACAAUGCCUGAUCUCUUUUGGAAGCUAAACAAGGCCGGGUCUGGUUAGUAUUUGGGUGGGAGACAGCUGGGAAUACCAGGUGCCACAGUGA
rnacentral:rRNA from 1 species